UACAGAGGUCUCAAGCGUUGUUCGGAUUCAUUGGGCGUAAAGGGUGUGUAGGUGGCGCGCUAAGUCGGGUGUGAAAUUUCGGAGCUUAACUCCGAAACUGCAUUCGAUACUGGCGUGCUUGAGGACUGGAGAGGAGACUGGAAUUCAUGGUGUAGCAGUGAAAUGCGUAGAGAUCGCUGAGGAAGACCAGUGGCGAAGGCGGGUCUCUGGACAGUUCCUGACACUGAGACACGAAGGCCAGGGGAGCAAACGGG
rnacentral:rRNA from 1 species